AUUGGUCACCAUAAAAUGAGCAACUUCCCCGUAUCCACUAGAUCAUUAAUUUGACUAUCUAUAUAAAUUAAGAUGCGUCAUCUUCGACUCCAAGUACUAUUGACGGGUAAACCGCCUUGAUCAAUGGGAUGUGAUUUAUUUCAUGUGUCUGCUUUCUUCUUAAUUUCGUAACCAAAUAGCUGACUCUGUCAUUAAUGGCUUCAGAAUUCCUUCAGGAAUUGCCUUGUUUCUUUUGUUUCUGUCCACAUGUUUCUACAGAAGUUGAGGACAUCUAUAAAGAACUUAAAAAAAAAAAAAUUAAAAUGGGGGCUGGAAAGAAAUCAUUUGGAUGCAAUCCACUCUUCUUCUUCUUCUUCUUCUUUUUAAGAAAAAAACAAAAAACUUCAAUUGUAGUUUCAUAAUAGUUCUAAGUUCAAAUUAACAUCUCCAUAUUUUAAAAUAUAAAUUUAAAAAAUAGCAGAUGCAGUCCACUUACAAUUUAAUAUUAUUAUAGUCCAAUAAAACUGUAUUUUAAUGCGGGUGGUCUUGCGAAUGAUUAUGGGGGAAUCAAUCUCCAAAGAAAGGAACGAGUUCUUGAGGUGACUAGCGAGGCAAUUCAGGUAGUGUUUGGGUGGGAGGAGAAAAUAGGGGAGAUGAAAGUAAUUUAAU
rnacentral:lncRNA from 1 species